rnacentral:lncRNA from 1 species
UUUGCACUAAACCACUGAUACAUAUGUCGGUGAUAGCUUUAGGAAGAUAAAGAGGCAUGGAGAUAGAUGGGAAGGUUUGCCGACGAUCUGCCUGCUCUCGUCCUCGCAUGAAACGAAGAUGCAUUCUUCUUUGUUCAGAGACAUCAGACAGACGAUAAUGGACGCACGAGAACAGUGAAUGAGGUUUUGGUUUUAUGCCUUCGUAUGAUCAAACGUAGCUAAUAAAUCGAGAAAUUAAGCUACCUAAUGAUCUGUCUGCGUAUGCGUUUUUACAUGGAGUGAUUUGCUUGUGGUUAUUACGUUCAGAAACAUCAAGCAUGGACAUGUGCGAUCUUUGGCAAUGAUGCUGUCUGCAUUCAUGUCCCUUUCCGAUGAAGACGCAUUUGGCUGUUUGCAAGCUAUUGCAAGUCCUUUUUUGCUUGUUUGUAAGUUAUUACAGUAUAUUGUAUUUGCUACUAAAUCCAUAUGCACUGUAAGUGAACUUAUGAUAUGACAUACCGCAUGUCAUACUUGAGAUUGGAUUGCAAGUUAAAACACAGAUUUUGGUUCUC